rnacentral:rRNA from 1 species
UACGUAGGUGGCAAGCGUUGUCCGGAUUUACUGGGCGUAUAGAGCGCGCAGGCGGCUGGGCAAGUCCGAUGUGAAAGCUUCCGGCUUAACUGGAAAAUUGCAUCGGAAACUGCUCGGCUUGAAGGUGGGAGAGGGUAGCGGAAUUCCCGGUGUAGUGGUGAAAUGCGUAGAUAUCGGGAGGAACACCAGUGGCGAAGGCGGCUACCUGGCCCACUCUUGACGCUGAGGCGCGAAAGCUAGGGGAGCAAACGGG